rnacentral:rRNA from 1 species
CGAAAGGAAGAUUAAUACUCCAUAAUAUAUUGAUUGGCAUCAAUUAUAUGAAAGCUCCGGCGGAUAGAGAUGGGCACGCGCAAGAUUAGCUAGUUGGUGAGGUAACGGCUCACCAAGGCGAUGAUCUUAGGGGCCAGAGAGGGUGAUCCCCCACACUGGUACUGAGACACGGACCAGACUCCUACGGGAGGCAGCAGUGAGGAAUAUUGGUCAAUGGGUGCAAGCCUGAACCAGCCAUCCCGCGUGAAGGACGACUGCCCUAUGGGUUGUAAACUUCUUUUGUAUAGGGAUAAACCUACCCUCGUGAGGGUAGCUGAAGGUACUAUACGAAUAAGCACCGGCUAACUCCGUG